UAGGGAAUCUUCGGCAAUGGACGAAAGUCUGACCGAGCAACGCCGCGUGAGUGAAGAAGGUUUUCGUAUUGUAAAACUCUGUUGUUAGAGAAGAACAAGUACGUUAGUAACUGAACGUCCCCUGACGGUAUCUAACCAGAAAGCCACGGCUAACUACGUGCCAGCAGCCGCGGUAAUACGUAGGUGGCAAGCGUUGUCCGGAUUUAUUGGGCGUAAAGCGAGCGCAGGCGGUUUCUUAAGUCUGAUGUGAAAGCCCCCGGCUCAACCGGGGAGGGUCAUUGGAAACUGGGAGACUUGAGUGCAGAAGAGGAGAGUGGAAUUCCAUGUGUAGCGGUGAAAUGCGUAGAUAUAUGGAGGAACACCAGUGGCGAAGGCGGCACUCUGGUAUGUAACUGACGCUGAGGCUCGAAAGCGUGGGGAGCAAACAGG
rnacentral:rRNA from 1 species